CGAUGAGGUAGAGGUCGCGGUUUUUAAUAGUAAAGCGAAGAAGAUGCAGAGAACAUUGAGGAAUUCGUUUGAAAGGAAAAAUCGCCGAAGUUUAUUUCACUUCUCUGAUGAAAUAAGCUGGGGCUGUAUCCAAAUAGGAACAGAACUGUCACAUGAGUCCUUACCAGACACGUGUGAAGUGCUAUCUUCAUG
rnacentral:ncRNA from 2 species